rnacentral:tRNA from 1 species
UGGCUCAGACCGUAGAGAAUCUGCCUGCAAUGCAGGAAACCCAGGUUCAAACCCUGG